rnacentral:lncRNA from 1 species
AACAAUUGAUUUUUACAUAAUACGAAAGAAUAUAAUGUAGUAAUUCAUGACACAAAAUCACCAUUUGAUUUCAUUGAUAAAUGCUUCAUUUCCUAUUCUCCAUUUCUUAACCAUAACAAGGUAUUUAAUGUUCUCAAAACUCUAAACGUAUUAUUUUGUCAAGCCAGCCCCAUGUCGAUCACAACACAACUGUGAAGUAGUAGUAACAAAACAUGAAUUAUAUUAUUUUAAACUUUUUCUUUAGGUGGUAAUUCAGAAAUGAAAAUAAGGUCAAGGUCAACUUUGAUAUGACAGGCAGUUAUUUCAGACCAUAAAUCAUCUGUUUAUAAAAAUUGCUCUUGUAGCUCUUAAACGCCUGAACAUACAUAUACCUCACAUUCUUCUUUCGUCGUCACACGCAAGAAAUUUUUUUUUUAUUUCCAUAAAUUUACAAAAAAACAAGAUACUUCCUUAAAAGUUGAAUCAGAAAAAUAUAAUUGAAUUACUAUCACAAUAAUUCUUAUGUCAGAUAUAAAGAAUCGUAGUCUCGAGAGAAAAAAGUGUAUACAUUAAUGAUAUUUUG